UACGUAGGGUGCAAGCGUUGUCCGGAUUUAUUGGGCGUAAAGAGCUCGUAGGCGGUUUGCCGCGUCUGCUGUGAAAACUCGGGGCUUAACCCCGGGCCUGCAGUGGGUACGGGCAGACUAGAGUGUGGUAGGGGGAGACUGGAAUUCCUGGUGUAGCGGUGAAAAUGCGCAGAUAUCAGGAGGAACACCGAUGGCGAAGGCAGGUCUCUGGGCCAUAACUACGUGAGGAGCGAAAAGCGUGGGGGAGCGAACAGG
rnacentral:rRNA from 1 species